ensembl:snRNA U6 U6 spliceosomal RNA
GUGCUUGCUUUGGCAGCACAGAUACUAAAACUGGAAUGAUACAGAGAAGGCUAGCAUGGGCCCUGUGCAAAGAUGACAUGCAAAUGUGUGAAGCUCACACACAAGCA